rnacentral:rRNA from 1 species
AUUGAACGCUGGCGGCAGGCCUAACACAUGCAAGUCGAACGGUAACAGGAAGCAGCUUGCUGCUUCGCUGACGAGUGGCGGACGGGUGAGUAAUGUCUGGGAAGCUGCCUGAUGGAGGGGGAUAACUACUGGAAACGGUAGCUAAUACCGCAUAAUGUCGCAAGACCAAAGAGGGGGACCUUCGGGCCUCUUGCCAUCGGAUGUGCCCAGAUGGGAUUAGCUUGUUGGUGGGGUAACGGCUCACCAAGGCGACGAUCCCUAGCUGGUCUGAGAGGAUGACCAGCCACACUGGAACUGAGACAAGGUCCAGACUCCUACGGGAGGCAGCAGUGGGGAAUAUUGCACAAUGGGCGCAAGCCUGAUGCAGCCAUGCCGCGUGUAUGAAGAAGGCCUUCGGGUUGUAAAGUACUUUCAGCGGGGAGGAAGGGAGUAAAGUUAAUACCUUUGCUCAUUGACGUUACCCGCAGAAGAAGCACCGGCUAACUCCGUG